rnacentral:rRNA from 1 species
AUUGAACGCUGGCGGCACGCCUAACACAUGCAAGUCGAGCGGCAGCGAGACGCGUAGCAAUACGUGUUGUCGGCGAGCGGCGGACGGGUGAGUAACACGUAGGAACUUGCCCAAUAGACAGGGAUAACCAAGGGAAACUUUGGCUAAUACCGGAUAGACACUCGAGAGAGGAAAGCUGCGAUGGAGAGAUUCAAAGUGGCGUUAUUGGAGAGGCCUGCGUCCGAUUAGCUAGUUGGUGGGGUAAGAGCCUACCAAGGCGAUGAUUGGUAACUGGUCU